rnacentral:rRNA from 1 species
UACGUGGGGGGCAAGCGUUGUUCGGAAUUACUGGGCGUAAAGGGCUCGUAGGCGGCCAACUAAGUCAGACGUGAAAUCCCUCGGCUUAACCGGGGAACUGCAUCUGAUACUGGAUGGCUUGAGUUCGGGAGAGGGAUGCGGAAUUCCAGGUGUAGCGGUGAAAUGCGUAGAUAUCUGGAGGAACACCGGUGGCGAAGGCGGCAUCCUGGACCGACACUGACGCUGAGGCACGAAAGCGUGGGGAGCAAACAGG